GACGAACGCUGGCGGCGUGCCUAAUACAUGCAAGUCGAGCGGGGAGAGAUUUUCGGAUUUCUCUUUAGCGGCGGACGGGUGAGUAACACGUGGGUAACCUGCCUCAAAGAGGGGGAUAGCCUUCCGAAAGGAAGAUUAAUACCGCAUAAUAUCAGGAAGCUGCAUGGCAUUCUGAUUAAAGGAGCAAUCCGCUUUGAGAUGGACCCGCGGCGCAUUAGCUAGUUGGUGAGGUAACGGCCCACCAAGGCGACGAUGCGUAGCCGACCUGAGAGGGUGAUCGGCCACAUUGGAACUGAGACACGGUCCAGACUCCUACGGGAGGCAGCGGUCGAGGAAUCUUCCACAAUGGGCGCAAGCCUGAUGGAGCGACACCGCGUGAAGGAAGAAGGUCUAACGAUUGUAAACUUCUUUUCUGGGGGAGCAUAAUGAGAGUACUUCAGGAAUAAGGAACGGCUAAUCACGUGCCAGCCGCCGCAGUAAGAC
rnacentral:rRNA from 1 species